rnacentral:rRNA from 1 species
UACGAAGGGGGCUAGCGUUGUUCGGAUUUACUGGGCGUAAAGGGCGCGUAGGCGGAUUUUUAAGUCAGGGGUGAAAUCCCAAGGCUCAACCUUGGAACUGCCUUUGAUACUGGGAAUCUUGAGUCCGGGAGAGGUGAGUGGAACUGCGAGUGUAGAGGUGAAAUUCGUAGAUAUUCGCAAGAACACCAGUGGCGAAGGCGGCUCACUGGCCCGGAACUGACGCUGAUGCGCGAAAGCGUGGGGAGCAAACAGG